UGAGAACGGACGAUUACGAAGGCACGACAACUUUGAAUUUUUCUCUCAGCCUCUCAUUGUCUCACUCUCUUCUCUGUGAGCCCUUGAUAUGGUCCUGCCUGUGUUGCCUUUCUUACAUCGAUAACAUCAGUGAAAGCUAAAUCCCAAUUUAUCAAUUCACGAUUACUUCAUUCUCAAAUUAUACCUCAAUGUCCUCUCUCGUCCCUAUCUGUUGCCAUUGCUACGGAGAUACUCAUUUUGUUUAUAUUUUUUUUUCUUGUUCUUUUAAAAUAUUUUAAGAUGGAGAAUCUGAUUUAGGGUGAGCUGUGGAGCCAAAGGGUUUUGUGCCUUCACUGUCAUAUGCUGGGUAGUGGGAGGUGGGAUUAUUUUCAGAUUUUGCUAGGAUUAGGUAAUCAUGUUAUGGGAUUAUGAUUUAUUGCUCAAAUAUUGAAUGAGAUUAGGAUUAUAUUGAAUCGGAUUCUGGGAAUAGGAUUUAUUGCUAAUAUAUUCUAGUUCCUUUUAAUUAUUGAAUGGGAAUCAAAAAUGGGAUUAGGAUUUAGGAUUAUAUUCAAACUGUGUUUCUAACUCAAAAGCUAAAUAUAAAGAACUAGUUUGGUAAAUUUUAGUGUUUGCUUCUAAAUCUUUCAACGGUUUAAAAAUUUUUUGGGUAAGUGAACGAAAAUAUCUAAUUUUCCUUUUGCUGGAACAAUAUGUAUAAUGCUUAACCUUAUAUGCUAGUACAUAAAUUUCCCUUUUGCUGCAACAAAUAGAACUUAUAUUGUUAGGCAUCAUUAGUAAACAACAAAAGAUAGGGACUGCUGCAAGUUAACAAUUAUCUCGUUAAAUGGCCAUAAAUUGCGGACCCUGCAAGAGAUAGAUUUGAGGUCUGAUAAAUGUAUUUUUACCAUUUACAAAUUUAGUUGUGUAAACAUGGCUUGUUAGUUGUUGGCACAAUAUCGAAAAGUAUUUGUCCUUGCUCUAUUUGGGUCAGAUAUUAUGCUACAACUCAAGCUCCCUAAUGGCCUCCCGUUUCUUGCUUACUUCUCUAUCUAUUUAAGUUGGGAUGAGUUUCUUUUCUUCAUUCUAGGCUCACAAGUUGUGAAGAAAUCAAGUUCAUUUCUUUCCCUACUUAAAUGCCCCAUGGUAGGCACAUUCUACAAAAGUCGUGCACCUGGUGAACCACCAUUCGUGAAGGUAAUUGAUAUAAAUUUGAUGAUGGAAAAAGGAAAAAAAUGAAGGUAGGAACGGAUUUAUAUUUUUAAGGUAGAUGUGUGUAUCAAUUUUUUGUAUACAACACAUGCUCAAAAGAAAUUAUCUUGUCAUUGGCUUUAUCCUUGUUUAGACUAUUUCACUGCUUUAUUUCUUCUUUCACAAUUCAAGGCUUCACAUCUCUCUACAUUCGCAUCGUUACAUGGUUAUAUAAUCAUAAACUACAACCCUAUAUCAGUUGAUACCCUGAGUAGCUGCAUUUGAAUGGUCAUUUUAUUCUAGCAUCAUAAUUUAUUCCAUAUAUCAGCUGCUAGAUGACACUAUAUCAGUGUUGACACUGUGAAUUCUCUGUCUAAUCAUCAUUGGUUGAUGGCAUAAGUGAUAUACUAUUUUAAUCUCUCUUCACUUUAAGUGUGUCUUGAUUUUUCUUACACCUGUUUACAACCUUUGUUUUUUAUUGAACCAUAGAGUAAGCAGAGUUAAAAGUGCGGUAUUAAGGAAUAAGAUGGUAUGUCUUGUAUUUAAGGGGGGUUGCAGCAUGCUUUUUACUCCCAGGGACGUGUUCUGCAGGGAAUGAGAUUAUAGUUAGAAUUGGAAAUGAAAGUCUCCGAUAAAUUCCUUUCUUUACCUGUACUAAAAUUUGUUGAAAUAUUUCUUUUGCUACUAUGUAUACUAAACUACUUCAUUAUUAAAAGUUGAAAAGAGUAUUGGAAUGUAGAGGAAAAAUUUUCUUCACAAAUCCCAGAGAACUUCAUCAGAACAAGGGUACGCGAGUAUGACCCCAUCGAACAAAAUUCAUAAGCCAAUUAGUAUGUAUCCAAGAAAUAUAAAACUUUCUUCUCCUAAAAGCAAUUGGCAGUUUACUAGAAUUAACAUAAGUUUUCACAAAUGUGUACUUUGUUGCGUAUCUGAAUAAAGGAGUACAUCUCUCCAACAAAAAAAAAGGACAGCAAAACUAUUUACUUUUGACGUACUAUUAUUAGUUAACGUCCAUAUUUCAUUUUCUAAACCUACGAAGUUGUAAAGGCUAUAGGGUUCGGCACAGUCAAAAUAAGUUGCAACUAGCUAACUUUUAGUAGGUUGGCUCCUGACUGAAUUUAUUUUAUUUAUUUAUUUAUUUUCACAGUAUUAUAUACUAGCUAUAGAAACUAAAGCAACCUAAAAUAGUGCAGGUGGAGGAAGUACCUAGUAUAUAAUAUUGUAAAAAAGACCUAUUUAGCUUAUCUCAGUGAAAAAGUUUUCUUACCAUAACAAUAUAAAUACUUAUGACUUUUCCGAUUUCUUUCUAGGUAAACGAAGAGUUUCAAUCGACAGUAGAAAAGUUGGUUUCCCAGAAUUGGUGAGGAUUUAAACGAUGAUCCAGUUUAUACAGGGAGGGAAAUUAAAGGAAAAGAAGACAUUGAUAUUAAAGUUGCUCUAGUCGAUAAUUUAACUGAGGAUCCUAUUGACUCUGAGCCUGAAUCCUCCAAGACAAAUGUAUAGACUAUUUAUAGGAGAAUUGAUGUCUAGACCUACCAUAAUCCUAUCAUGAUAGUUUGACUAAUUGAAGUAAUACCAACUACCAAGCAAUUUUGUGAUUAGGGACAUGGCAUAUAAAGUGCAUUGCACAUACUAAGAAAAUAUUAAACCUAUUAGAUGGAACUUGGAAGGAUAUAUAUAUAGCCACAAUUUUAUGAUUACAGACAUAAAUGGGAGAGAACUUUAGAAUUUAGCAUUUACAAUAGAAUAAUAAACAAAAUAGGUAAAUCUUUGGAAGCAUACUAUAAUAAAAAUGUGAUUAAGGAAGUUUUAAAUCAAAAUCGAAUGCUCAAAGUGUAGAUACCUUAUCAAGAAGAAAACAGAAAAUGGACAUUUAUAUUCCUCUUAUUACUAGAAAGGAACAAAUAGCAAAUUCUUUUGACAAAAGAAGUGUAGAGACCUUUAUUUCUCUCAAAGAAGAAAUGAUAAUUCUUUCCCCCCUUUUUUUGCAUAUCUUCUAUGGCUUACUAAUUCUUUGAAGAUUGUACUCUACGAAUUCAGGACUUGCAAUUCUUUGGAGAUUGUCACUAAUUCUUGACUUACUACUGGAUUAUUGCAUAAAAAAGGACUUACAAUUGUUAAGAGCAAUGAGGGUUGGGGUGAGCAGCACAUGACACUAAAGCUUGGUACAAAGGCAUCCUAAAAUAUAAUUAACUUCAAUAUGAAUUAGAUGAAGAGAAAUUAGUUAUUUUUUUAAUAUCAUGCUUGUAUUUUUUACAUUAUGUAUUCAAGUGUAUAGGAGAAUAUUGUCAUACUUCACAUUAUGUAUUCAAAAAUUUAUAAUGAGAUUAUCGAUUUUUAUACAAUUCUAAAAUUUGUCAUUUUCAAUUUUGCGAGUCA
rnacentral:lncRNA from 1 species